rfam:Triticum aestivum genome assembly, contig: Triticum_aestivum_CS42_TGACv1_scaffold_500183_6BL
CAACUACUCCCUCUGUCCCAAAUUUCUUGUCUUAGAUUUUCCUAGAUACAGAUGUAUUACUUGAUACAUCCGUAUCUAGACAAAUCUAAGAGAAGAAUUUUGGGACGGAGGGAGUACUUU